rnacentral:rRNA from 1 species
UCGCCUGUUUAUCAAAAACAUUCCCCCARGAAUUGUAUUUAAAGUAGGCCCUGCUCAAUGAUAUUAUUAAAGUUUAAUAGCCGCAGUAUUUUGACUGUGCAAAGGUAGCAUAAUCAUUUGGUUCUUAAAUGGGAUCUUGUAUGAAAGGGUUAACGGGGGGCAUCUUUUUUUAGGGUAUAAGUUUAAUUUAGAGUUUUUGUUAUAAUACAAAAAUUAAAUUAAGGGACGAUAAGACCCUAUAAAGCUUUAUUUUAUUAAUAAUUAAAUUAUUAGAACUAAAUUUAAUUUUUGUUAAAAUUUUACUGGGGCGGUAGCUUAUUAAAGAACUAGGUAAUAUUAUUUUAUUGAUCCAUCUAUUGAUGAGAAAUUGAUUAAGUUACUUUAGGGAUAACAGCAUAAUUCAUUUAGGGAGUACAAAUCGAAGAAUGAGAUUGUGACCUCGAUGUUGAAUUAAAAUUUCUUUUGGGUGGAGAAGCUCAAAAAGUUAGUCUGUUCGACUAUUAAAUUGGGACAUGAUCUGAGUUCAAACCGGAGA